ensembl:ncRNA K08B12.13 ncRNA
GCGUUAUGUCUAGAGAGGGAGAUAGCACCAGAUUUACAUCGUUUUGAUUUUUUGGAAAUUGGGAGAAAAAUAAGUAUGUAGACGAGAAGGAGAGAGUUGCAGAAUUAGUCGUUAUUUACAGAUCUGUUCAGUGAAUCCUGAAAAAAUUGG